rnacentral:tRNA from 2 species
GAUUAGUUUUGUAAGCAGCUGCUAACUGUUUUUUAGGUGUGGUUAUGAGUCG